rnacentral:rRNA from 1 species
UACGUAGGGGGCAAGCGUUGUCCGGAAUCAUUGGGCGUAAAGAGCGUGUAGGCGGCUUGGUAAGUCCGCUGUGAAAGUCCAGGGCUCAACCCUGGAAAGCCAGUGGAAACUGCCAAGCUAGAGUCCGGAAGAGGCGAGUGGAACUCCUGGUGUAGCGGUGAAAUGCGCAGAUAUCAGGAAGAACACCAAUGGCGAAGGCAGCUCGCUGGGACGCGACUGACGCUGAGACGCGAAAGCCAGGGGAGCAAACGGGG